rnacentral:lncRNA from 1 species
AAUAAUUUCAUUUACCUUUUCAGCUCACCCAUCUUGUUGCACCAUUCCUAUUAAUGAAAUAUUGAAAACUUGAUGUUUUGCUUUAGGAAAAUGGGACCAGUAUGGCUGAACAUGUUCGAAAUUCCGGUUGGCCAAAAACUGGCUCCUAUCAAGAUCCUCUUCAUAAUGCCUCUGAAGAAGCCACAGAACAAAACAUACGAGCUGGUACUCAGGCUGUUUUACAGGUGUUCAUUAUAAACUCAUCAAACAUAUUUCUUCUUGAACCUGCAAAUGAAAUAAAAAAUCUUCUGGAUGAGCACACAGAUAUGUGUAAACGCAUUCUUAACAUUUAUCGGUACAUGGUUGUACAAGUAUCGAUGGACAAAAAAACUUGGGAACAGAUGCUACUUGUAUUGCUCAGAGUCACGGAGUCUGUACUGAAGAUGUCAUCACAAGCUUUUCUACAGUUCCAGGGGAAAAAAAAUAUGACCUUGGCAGGUCGACUUGCAGGACCACUUUUCCAGACGCUUAUAGUUGCCUGGAUCAAAGCAAAUCUAAAUGUGUAUAUCUCUCGAGAACUUUGGGAUGACUUAUUGUCAGUAUUGUCAUCGUUGACCUGUUGGGAAGAAUUGGCCACUGAGUGGUCACUGACUAUGGAGACACUAACUAAAGUUUUAGCUAGAAAUUUAUAUAGUUUGGAUCUCAGUGAUUUGCCAUUGGAUAAGCUGAGUGAACAGAAACAAAAAAAGCACAAAGGGAAAGGAGUUGGACAUGAAUUUCAGAAAGUUUCAGUUGACAAGUCAUUUUCUAGAGGAUGGAGUCGCGAUCAGCCUGGCCAGGCCCCAAUGAGACAGAGAAGUGCAACAACCACUGGCUCUCCAGGGACUGAAAAGGCGAGGAGUAUAGUGCGGCAGAAAACUGUUGCCAUGAGAAGCCGAUCCAUUGGUGAAUGUGCUCUGCCAUCGGCCUAUAUACGCAGUGCUAAAAGUGCUCCUGUCCUGAUCCAUACUUCCAAACCCUUCUUGCCUGAUAUUGUUCUCACUCCCCUUUCUGAUGAGCUUUCAGAUAUUGAUGAUGCUCAAAUACAUCCCCGCUCAACUAGAGUCAGACAUUUUUCACAAAGUGAAGACACUGGAAAUGAAGUUUUUGGUGCCUUGAAUGAAGAACAGCCAUUGCCUCGAAGUAGCAGUACUUCUGACAUCUUGGAACCAUUCACUGUUGAACGAGUCAAAGAGGCAGAACAGAAUGCCACCAGAGGCUCCACUGAGGGAUCUGUACAGUCAUGUAAUGGGCUAUUUUGGAAGGAAAGCUGCAGUCAAUAA